AGACACGGUCCAAACUCCUACGGGAGGCAUCAGUGAGGAAUAUUGGUCAAUGGACGAGAGUCUGAACCACGCAAGUAGCGUGAAGGAUGACUGCCCUACGGGUUGUAAACUUCUUUUAUAUGGGAAUAAAAUGUUCCACGUGUGGGAUUUUGUAUGUACCAUAUGAAUAAGGAUCGGCUAACUCCGUGCCAGCAGCCGCGGUAAUACGGAGGAUCCGAGCGUUAUCCGGAUUUAUUGGGUUUAAAGGGAGCGUAGGUGGAUUGUUAAGUCAGUUGUGAAAGUUUGCGGCUCAACCGUAAAAUUGCAGUUGAAACUGGCAGUCUUGAGUACAGUAGAGGUGGGCGGAAUUCGUGGUGUAGCGGUGAAAUGCUUAGAUAUCACGAAGAACUCCGAUUGCGAAGGCAGCUCACUGGACUGCAACUGACACUGAGGCUCGAAAGUGUGGGUAUCAAACAGGAUUAGAUACCCUGGUAGUCCA
rnacentral:rRNA from 1 species